rnacentral:lncRNA from 1 species
UUUUUCACUCACUUCAUUCACAUUUUCUUUUGUUUCUCUCUCGCUUUCCUUUCCGCCUUUUUCAUUUUCAUUUUCUUCUUUUUCACUUUUAUUUUUCCCUUCUCCUUUUUCUUUUUCCUCACUUGUUUUAACAACAAAAUUUUUCAGUUUGAUUUGGUCCUCAUGGACCUAUUCCGGAGUGAGCGGCUCUAUGGUGACUUUCCUUCCGUGAUGCUUGAAAGAAUACCUAUUGGUACGACCAUCGUGGGUGACCUUUCGAUCCCUUUGCCAUGGUUCUCCUAGCAACAAAUGGCAGGCUUGAAU